AUGUCAAAAUGUCUCACGUGCCA
rnacentral:piRNA from 1 species